rnacentral:sRNA from 1 species
GCCAGGUGUGGUAGCAUACACCUGUAAUCCCAGCAGCUUGGAGGCUGAGGCAGGAGGAUUGCAAGUUUGAGGCCAGCCUCAGCAACUUAGUGAGGCCCUAAGUAACUUAGCAAGACUCUGUCAU